UGAGGAAUAUUGGUCAAUGGGCGAGAGCCUGAACCAGCCAAGUCGCGUGAGGGAAGAAUGGUCUAUGGCCUGUAAACCUCUUUUGUCAGGGAAGAAUAAGGAUGACGAGUCAUUCGAUGCCAGUACUUGACGAAUAAGCAUCGGCUAACUCCAGCCAGCAGCCGCGGUAAUACGGAGGAUGCGAGCGUUAUCCGGAUUUAUUGGGUUUAAAGGGUGCGUAGGCGGACUGGUAAGUCAGCGGUAAAAAUGCGGUGCUCAACGCCGUAGUGCCGUUGAAACUGCCGGUCUUGAGUGAGCGAGAAGUAUGCGGAAUGCGUGGUGUAGCGGUGAAAUGCAUAGAUAUCACGCAGAACUCCGAUUGCGAAGGCAGCAUACCGGCGCUCAACUGACGCUGAGGCACGAAAGCGUGGGGAUCGAACAGGAUUAGAUACC
rnacentral:rRNA from 1 species